rnacentral:lncRNA from 1 species
AAAUGUCCCACUGAAGCCCUGAGUGGGUCCGGACGCCGCGCGCCUAGUGCUGCUGGGGCAGAGUCUGUACCGAGGCGCGCGGAGCGACCACGACACUCGCGGCGAGGUCCCGCAGGGCCAGCUCCGUGGGCAGGGGACAGGGAGGCGGGCACCGGACCAGGGCGCUCGGAAGAGCCCCGGGUUUUUGUUGUUGUUUUGUUGCAAACACAGAUUGCGAUCGCAGCCCCGCUCCCCGGGGGACUUGGAGGCGGCGGCGGCGGCGGCGGCAGAGGGCCCGCGGAGAGUGAGAAUAAAAGAACAGCGGGGUACAACCUGUCGUGCCCGCCCGGGCGGCGGGGGUCAGGGCCGACGGCGACGGAAACUGCCGCCCGCCCGGGACGCGCUUCCCCCGCAGCCCGGCCGCCGAGCGAUGACUGGCGCCGCGAGGUAAACAGCGCGCGCCGCGGUCCCUCGGCGCCACGACCGUUGCCCCGGGCCGCUCCGGUGCGGGCUCCCGCCCUGCCCCCAGCUCCGCCGGUGUCACCGCCCCAGCCUCCGGAAAGCCCCUCCGCCGCCGCCGGAGCAAACAACACAGGCGCGGGGCGGGGGCGCCCGGGAGGCGCGACACUCGGGACGGCCGGGCUGGGUCGCCGCGCCCUCCCUCUCCCUCCUCCCGCUCGCUCGCUCCCGCCGGCCUCGGCCGUCCCCGCGCUCUUACCUGCUCUCCCUCCACGUCGCCGUGUCCCUUGCCCUUCCCCUCAGGGCCACAGACCGGCCGAGCCGCCGCAGCCGCCCGCCGUUGGCCGGGCGUCCUGCGGGAAGCCAAGGGGGCCUCCCCGGGCCAACGCGCGAGCCGCUCCACACCACAGGACGAGACAAAACCGCGCUGCGCCGCCCCGCGCUGCGCCCCCCCACCCACCGCGCGCACGGCCCCACAGACCCCCCAACUGCCGAGGCGACGGAGGCGACACAGCCCGGCGCGGGGAAGCUGCGGCCGGCCCCCGCCCUCCGCACCCGCCUCGCCUCGACUCCUCCCCCUCGGCCUCCUGCCGCCGCCACCAGGACACUGGAGUCCGCCUCCCCCACCCGGCCGCUCCGCGCGCUCCUCCCUCCCCGCGCGCCGCCGGGGAGGCGACACCGCCAGUCACCGCAGCGCCUGUCAAACCGGGCCGGCUAUUUAUACUCCCCGCCGCCCUCGGGCCCCCCGCAGCCCGCCUCCUGCGCUCUCGAAUCCCGCCCUCUCCUCCGCGCCCAACUUCGCCAGAACCCGCCUGCUCAGGUGGAGACGCUCGCCACUCGUCCCGCUCCGCGUCCCCGGGGCUUCCCCACACCCCCACGCCGCGCGCGUUGAGCUGCGGCCGCGGGACGGGCGCGUGGAGACCGCAGGGCGGUGCGUGCACCUGCAGCCGGGCUGGGGACGACACGCGCACCCCUUGGGCCACUUUCGAGUCCCUGCUGUUACCCCUCAUCCCCUCCCAACUUGGGGUCCCCCUCCCAGGGUUUCCAGUGACCGCUCCACACUAG